CACGUAGGAGGCAAACGUUAUCCGGAUUUACUGGGCGUAAAGCGCGUGUAGGUGGUUCUGUAAGUAGGGCGUGAAAGCUCCUGGCUCAACUGGGAGAGGCCGUUCUAAACUGCAGAGCUAGAGGAUGGUAGAGGGAGGUGGAAUUCCAGGUGUAGCGGUGGAAUGCGCAGAUAUCUGGAGGAACACCAGUGGCGAAGGCGGCCUCCUGGACCAUUCCUGACACUCAGACGCGAAAGCUAGGGUAGCAAACGGGAUUAGAUACCCCGGUAGU
rnacentral:rRNA from 1 species